rnacentral:lncRNA from 1 species
CCAUAACACACCGCCAGAGCGCUUGAUGCUUACUAGAGCAUUCUAGAAACGACGGCUUUUGGGUGGGAUCGGGUAACUAGGGGCUUUACCAGAAGUUGGACAGUUUAUGCCUCGGUGAUCCGCCGAACAGUUCGAACAUGCAUGGCGAAAGCGACACAAUGCAGUGGGGGCUACACACCGUCCUCGAUUCCACGAUGCACAGACUACAAACGCAGCUGAAUUGCCUUGCCUUUCGGUCACACGAUCGACCCGCGCUUGCGGAAUCGAAUGAGAAGGUUUCGCAGCAGAACCGGCGGUAUAAAAAUUGAACAACUGGACGUUCAGUUCCGACCAGUCCGUAAGGUUUAGAGCGGCUGCGUGUUGUCUAAAGGCC